GUGGGGAAUUUUGGACAAUGGGCGCAAGCCUGAUCCAGCCAUGCCGCGUGAGUGAAGAAGGCCUUCGGGUUGUAAAGCUCUUUCGGUGGGGAAGAAAUUGCACUUGUUAAUACCGAGUGUAGAUGACGGUACCCGCAUAAGAAGCACCGGCUAACUACGUGCCAGCAGCCGCGGUAAUACGUAGGGUGCGAGCGUUAAUCGGAAUUACUGGGCGUAAAGCGUGCGCAGGUGGUUGUGUAAGUCAGAUGUGAAAUCCCCGGGCUCAACCUGGGAACUGCAUUUGAGACUGCACGGCUAGAGGAUGGCAGAGGGGGGUAGAAUUCCACGUGUAGCAGUGAAAUGCGUAGAGAUGUGGAGGAAUACCGAUGGCGAAGGCAGCCCCCUGGGCUAUUACUGACACUCAUGCACGAAAGCGUGGGGAGCAAACAGGAUUAGAUACCCUUGUAGUCC
rnacentral:rRNA from 1 species